rnacentral:rRNA from 1 species
UACGUAGGGUGCGAGCGUUGUCCGGAAUUACUGGGCGUAAAGAGCUUGUAGGUGGUUGUCGCGUUGUUCGUGAAAACUCACAGCUCAACUGUGGGCGUGCGGGCGAUACGGGGCAGACUAGAGUACUGCAGGGGAGACUGGAAUUCCUGGUGUAGCGGUGGAAUGCGCAGGAUAUCAGGAGGAACACCGAUGGCGAAGGCAGGUCUCUGGGCAUUAACUGACGCUGAGGAGCGAAAGCAUGGGGGAGCCGAACAGGA